GGUGCUGUAACUCAGUGGUCAGAGUGCUGCGUUGUCAGCGCAGAAGCCGGGGGUUCAAUUCCCCCCAGCAUCGCCA
rnacentral:tRNA from 2 species